GUGCUUGCUUCAGCAGCAUAUAUACUAAAACUGGAACAAUACAGAGAAGAUUAACAUGGCCCUGCAGAAGGAUGACAAUCAAAUUUGUGAAGCUUUCCGUAUUCUU